AAUUAAAUCCUGUUCACGUUUCCAGGUUUCGGGCGAUUUAGCUUCGAGUUCGCGGGAUUAUGACCGCAAGCCUGCAGAGGAAGAGCGAGAGAAAUAAUACAGCAGAGAAUUUGAUCACGGAAUUCACGGACGAUAUUCAAUCACAGCAUUCAGAGCGAGAACGAAAAUGGAAAAGAUGCGCCAUGCAGAGCGCGAACGUGUCCAAAAUAGCACAAUGGGCUCAUCUGCCGUCGGCGUCUCGGCUCCGUGACAUUGAUCAAGUAAAACGCGCGUGAUAUCGGCGGCGUAGGCGUUAGAGCAAAUGCAGAUAAAUUGACAGAAUGGAGAAGGGCACCCGGCACCACCGGAGAAUAGGAAAGAACCAGAGAAAAACCAAGGAUCAAUCAAGAGUCAGUUCCCCUCUAUCUGGGAUACCCACCGUCACCCCAUCAACGCGAGAGUCUCUAACCUCAAAGGAGUCCCAACUCAAUGGGUCCAUGUCGAGAUGCAGUCACAAGCGGAGCUCGUGCCAGUUUUGAGCUCUGCCACCCACUCAGAGCGCGGAAAAACAAGGGAAUCCGCCUCGAGAGCGAGAAGAAACCAAAUCCUGGUCAAAUUAUAUAGUUCGAAUGCGUUAAUCUGGGAUCGCUGCAAGCACCGAUAACGGCUCUCAUCUGCCGUUCCGAAAACACUCGAGACGAGAAUCGACGCUUGUCAUACCUACCCGAGACCGGGUAUCACCUGACUACGAGAGCAGGAUCCAAUCCACCGUAAUAUCUUCAGCCACUUCAGAAUUGGCUCCGACCGGUUUUUCUGACGAUUUGUCUUUUUGCUCUCGCCAAGUUCAGAUGAAUGAUCAAAUAUAUGCUAAAAAGAACUCAAGACGCGUGGGAAAAAUGGGGUGUGCUCGUUUUGAGCUGCACGAGAAACGAUGUAAAAUUGGGCGGAAUGAGUCAAUAGCUCUGGACACAGAAUCGUGUUUUGAUGCUUGACUCUUGUACAUCAGUUGAAAACAAUGAGAUAUGUCCAAUUAGCAACUUUCUACUGAAUAUGAAACCGGGAUAUCGCGCUUUGAAAAAUUCGGUUUAUGAUGUCAUCCACCGCGGUGGUGACACCCUUGGUUUCUUAUCCACCUUAGUGUUAUCAGUUAGGGAGACAUGCACUGGUACUGGUUAUACUCGACAUGAAACUCGGAUGAAAGCAAGGUGGAAGAAAAUGAAGGUGUCUCUACCGUGGUGGAUGACGUCAAAAACCCGACUUUUCAAAGAGCGACAUCUCGGUUAAUAUCGAAUGCAGAAAGUUGCUGUUGGAACAAAUCUCAUUAUUUUUCGUUGAUCUUCAAGAGUUGAGUAUCAAAACACAAUUCUGCGUCCAGUGCAACUGACAUAUUCUUUUUGGGAAAAUGGGAAAAUGGGAAUUGACAUUAAAUCAAGAGGAAUACUAAGCGCCAAAAUAUGCUAACUCAUGAUCCGUGAGGAUAUUACAACUGCGUUGUGGACAGGGCUCAUGAGUUACAUGUGGCGUCAACUUGAAUCUCCGCGUCCCUGUCGUCGCGGCUGACGUCACUUGCGCUUUAUAAUUUUCAUCAUUCUUGCAACCGUUGACUAACGAGCACACUCCUUUUAUUCCACCCGUCUCUGGUUCCCUUUAGCAAAAAUACUCUCAAUUUUGAUUCAAAUAUCACAGAAGAACUGAUGAGGAAGGAGCCAGAACUUUUUUACAAGGAAAAUAGCGCCAAAAGGAAUAAAUUUCUGAUUAGAUCUUGUAUUUAGGCUUCACAAAUCUCACAAACGAGGCGUAUUUCUGUGUGUUAUCGGAUAGAUUAUCUGAACCCUGGUAAAAAUUGGCGAUAGGAGCUGCGUUUCAAAAUACCACAGGAAUUCUUAUAGCCGACUAAAGAAGGCUAUUGAAAAUCAUAUAGCUGGUUAUAGAAA